rnacentral:lncRNA from 1 species
CCGCCUUCUCCAUUGUAGUCCCGUCGAUGUGGAUGGAGGCGUGCUCCCUCUGCUGUCUCCUGUCCUGUCGAUGUGGAUGGAGGCGUGCUCCCUCUGCUGUCUCCUGUCCUGUCGAUGUGGAUGGAGGCGUGCUCCCUCUGCUGUCUCCUGUCCUGUCGAUGUGGAUGGAGGCGUGCUCCCUCUGCUGUCUCCUGUCCUGUCGAUGUGGAUGGAGGCGUGCUCCCUCUGCUGUCUCCUGUCCUGUCGAUGUGGAUGGAGGCGUGCUCCCUCUGCUGUCUCCUGUCCUGUCGAUGUGGAUGGAGGCGUGCUCCCUCUGCUGUCUACUGUCCUGUCGAUGUGGAUGGAGGCGUGCUCCCUCUCCUGUCCUGUCGAUGUGGAUGGAGGCGUGCUCCCUCUCCUGUCCUGUCGAUGUGGAUGGAGGCGUGCUCCCUCUGCUGUCUCCUGUCCUGUCGAUGUGGAUGGAGGCGUGCUCCCUCUGCUGUCUCAUGUCCUGUCGAUGUGGAUGGAGGCGUGCUCCCUCUGCUGUCUACUGUCCUGUCGAUGUGGAUGGAGGCGUGCUCCCUCUGCUGUCUCCUGUCCUGUCGAUGUGGAUGGAGGCGUGCUCCCUCUCCUGUCCUGUCGAUGUGGAUAGGGGCGUGCUCCCUCUGCUGUCUCCUGUCCUGUUGAUGUGGAUGGAGGCGUGCUCCCUCUGCUGUCUCCUGUCCUGUCGAUGUGGAUGGAGGCGUGCUCCCUCUGCUGUCUCCUGUCCUGUCGAUGUGGAUGGAGGCGUGCUCCCUCUGCUGUCUCCUGUCCUGUCGAUGUGGAUGGAGGCGUGCUCCCUCUGCUGUCUCCUGUCCUGUCGAUGUGGAUGGAGGCGUGCUCCCUCUGCUGUCUCCUGUCCUGUCGAUGUGGAUGGAGGCGUGCUCCCUCUGCUGUCUCCUGUCCUGUCGAUGUGGAUGGAGGCGUGCUCCCUCUGCUGUCUCCUGUCCUGUCGAUGUGGAUGGAGGCGUGCUCCCUCUGCUGUCUCCUGUCCUGUCGAUGUGGAUGGAGGCGUGCUCCCUCUCCUGUCCUGUCGAUGUGGAUGGAGGCGUGCUCCCUCCCCUGUCCUGU